UGGUAACACGAACCGGUGCUAAAGGGUCCCUGCCCUGACAGCACGGGGCAGGACCCUUUAGCACCGGUUCGUGUUAUGAA
rfam:Sorghum bicolor cultivar BTx623 chromosome 2, whole genome shotgun sequence.